AGAAUUUGAUCAUGGCUCAGGAUAAACGCUGGCGGCGCACAUAAGACAUGCAAGUCGAACGAACUUAACCAUUAGUUUACUAUUGGAGCGGUUAGUGGCGGACUGGUGAGUAACACGUAAGCAACCUGCCUAUAAGAGGGGAACAACAGUUAGAAACUGACGUGCUAAUACCGCAUAUGCCUUAGAAUCACAUGGUUCGAAAGGGAAAGGAGCAAUCCGCUGAUAGAUGGGCUUGCGUCUGAUUAG
rnacentral:rRNA from 1 species